UACGUAGGGAGCGAGCGUUGUCCGGAUUUAUUGGGCGUAAAGAGCGCGUAGGCGGCUCGGUAAGCCGGAUGUGAAACCUCCAAGCUCAACUUGGAGCGGCCAUUCGGAACUGCUGUGGCUAGAGUCUGGUAGGGGAACACGGAAUUCCUGGUGUAGCGGUGAAAUGCUUAGAUAUCAGGAGGAACACCAGUGGCGAAGGCGGUGUUCUGGGCCAGUACUGACACUCAACUGCGAAAGCGUGGGGAGCAAACAGG
rnacentral:rRNA from 1 species